rnacentral:rRNA from 1 species
GCCGGUGCUUGCACUGGCGAAGUCGAGUGGCGAACGGGUGAGUAACACGUGAGAAACCUACCCUGGAGUGGGGAAUAACUCGAAGAAAUUCGAGCUAAUACCGCAUACCUUCUUACCGUCGAAUGGUGGUUUGAAGAAAGAUUUAUCGCUCUGGGAGGGUCUCGCGGCCUAUCAGCUAGUUGGUGAGGUAACGGCUCACCAAGGCAUCGACGGGUAGCUGGUCUGAGAGGACGAUCAGCCACACUGGAACUGAGACACGGUCCAGACUCCUACGGGAGGCAGCAGUAGGGAAUCUUGCGCAAUGGGCGAAAGCCUGACGCAGCAAUGCCGCGUGCGGGACGAAGGCCCUAGGGUCGUAAACCGCUUUCAGUAGGGACGAAAAUGACGGUACCUGCAGAAGAAGCUCCGGCCAACUACGUGCCAGCAGCCGCGGUGAUACGUAGGGAGCAAGCGUUGUCCGGAAUUACUGGGCGUAAAGGGCUCGUAGGUGGUUGAGUAAGUCAGAUGUGAAAUCUCAGGGCCCAACCCUGAGCGUGCAUUUGAUACUGCUCUGACUAGAGUCCGGUAGGGGAGUGCGGAAUUCCUGGUGUAGCGGUGAAAUGCGCAGAUAUCAGGAGGAACACCGACAGCGAAGGCAGCACUCUGGGCCGGUACUGACACUGAGGAGCGAAAGCAUGGGUAGCAAACAGGAUUAGAUACCCUGGUAGUCCAUGCCGUAAACGUUGGGCACUAGGUGUGGGGAGAACUCAACUCUCUCCGCGCCGUAGCUAACGCAUUAAGUGCCCCGCCUGGGGAGUACGGCCGCAAGGCUAAAACUCAAAGGAAUUGACGGGGGCCCGCACAAGCGGCGGAGCAUGUUGCUU